rnacentral:lncRNA from 1 species
UCCUGGGCAAGGAUGGCCAAGGAAGGACGACAGAGGGGUAGGAGAAACACUUCUGUAGAGAGGCCACAAGGCCUUUCUGAGGAGACGAAGUUUGACAGAGGAGCUAGCCACGUCCACAUCCAGGGGAACAGCAUUCUGAGCAGCAGGAACAGGAUAGAGGCAGCAAGAGGCCUUGUGUGGUGUAGCACAGCUCUAAAGAACAGGGAGCCAGGGCCGGGGAGACCUGGGCAAACAGUAUGGGACCUUGUAAGUCACUGAGAAGACAUUGACAUGUCUUUUGAAAGUUGUGGGAGGCCACAGGAGGCUUUUCCACAUCGAAAGGGAAAAUGCCUGGUGAAGGGGUAGGCCAUGGCUGACAGGGUUGGCACUGAGCAAUGUGCACUAGGGAUUACCAGGAUGGUGGAUGUUCUGCAGCCAUGAGUGUAGCCUCGGAGUGCUGGGGUGGAGGAGGCAGGGUGUGUGAGCAUGAGCAGCCGUGAGGCCCAGGUUCAAGUCCAGCCCCGACCCUCACACUCUCUCUACAGCUGAAGCAGGAGAUGGGGAACACAGUGAUGGACAUUAUUCAGAACUACAGCGUCAAUGCCAGCAGCAGCCGCGAGGAGGCUUGGGACUAUGUGCAGGCGCAGGUGAAGUGCUGUGGCUGGGUCAGCCCCUCCAACUGGACACGUAACCCGGUGCUCAAGAACUCUACCAAGACCACUUACCCAUGCUCCUGUGAGAAGACGAAGGAGGAGGACAACCAGCUCAUUGUGAAGAAAGGGUUCUGUGAGUCUGACAACAGCACCGCAAGUGAAAACAGUCCUGAGGACUGGCCUGUGCACC